rnacentral:rRNA from 1 species
AUACGUAGGGGGCAAGCGUUAUCCGGAUUUACUGGGGGUAAAGGGAGCGUAGACGGUUUGGAAAGUCUGAUGUGAAAGCCCGGGGCGCAACCGCGGGACUGCAUUGGAAAAUGUCAGACUUGAGAGCAGGAGAGGUAAGUGGAAUUCCUAGUGUAGCGGUGAAAUGCGUAGAUGUUAGGAGGAACACCGGUGGCGAAGGCGGCUUACUGGACUGUAACUGACGUUGAGGCUCGAAAGCGUGGGGAGCAAACAGGAUUAGAUACCCUGGUAGUCCACGCUGUAAACGAUGAAUACUAGGUGUGGGAGGACUGACCCCUUCCAUGCCGCAUUUAACCCAAUAAGUAUUCCACCUGGGGAGUACGAUCGCAAGAUUGAAACUCAAAUGAAUUGGCGGGG